rnacentral:rRNA from 1 species
CGUUCUGUAAGCCUGUGAAGGUGUGCUGUGAGGCAUGCUGGAGGUAUCAGAAGUGCGAAUGCUGACAUAAGUAACGAUAAAGCGGGUGAAAAGCCCGCUCGCCGGAAGACCAAGGGUUCCUGUCCAACGUUAAUCGGGGCAGGGUGAGUCGACCCCUAAGGCGAGGCCGAAAGGCGUAGUCGAUGGGAAACAGGUUAAUAUUCCUGUACUUGGUGUUACUGCGAAGGGGGGACGGAGAAGGCUAUGUUGGCCGGGCGACGGUUGUCCCGGUUUAAGCGUGUAGGCUGGUUUUCCAGGCAAAUCCGGAAAAUCAAGGCUGAGGCG